rnacentral:rRNA from 1 species
ACGACCGUACCGCAAACCGACACUGGUGCGCGAGAUGAGUAUUCUAAGGCGCUUGAGAGAACUCAGGAGAAGGAACUCGGCAAAUUGACACCGUAACUUCGGAAGAAGGUGUGCCUUUAGUAGGUGAAGUCCCUCGCGGAUGGAGCCCAAUGAGGUUGCAAAAAAUCGGUGGCUGCGACUGUUUAUUAAAAACACAGCACUCUGCAAACACGAAAGUGGACGUAUAGGGUGUGACGCCUGCCCGGUGCUGGAAGAUUAAAUGAUGGGGUGCAAGCUCUUGAUUGAAGUCCCAGUAAACGGCGGCCGUAACGAUAACGGUCCUAAGGUAGCGAAAUUCCUUGUCGGGUAAGUUCCGACCUGCACGAAUGGCGUAACGAUGGCCACACUGUCUCCUCCUGAGACUCAGCGAAGUUGAAAUGUUUGUGAUGAUGCAAUCUCCCCGCGGAAAGACGGAAAGACCCCAUGAACCUUUACUGUAGCUUUGUAUUGGACUUUGAACAGAUCUGUGUAGGAUAGGUGGGAGGCUUUGAAGCAGGGUCGCUAGAUCUUGUGGAGCCAACGUUGAAAUACCACCCUGGUGUGUUUGAGGUUCUAACCUAGGCCCGUAAUCCGGGUUGGGGACAGUGCAUGGUAGGCAGUUUGACUGGGGCGGUCUCCUCCCAAAGUGUAACGGAGGAGUUCGAAGGUACGCUAGUUACGGUCGGACAUCGUGACGAUAGUGCAAUGGCAUAAGCGUGCUUAACUGCGAGACUGACAAGUCGAGCAGAUGCGAAAGCAGGACAUAGUGAUCCGGUGGUUCUGUAUGGAAGGGCCAUCGCUCAACGGAUAAAAGGUACUCUGGGGAUAACAGGCUGAUACCGCCCAAGAGUUCGUAUCGACGGCGGUGUUUGGCACCUCGAUGUCGGCUCAUCUCAUCCUGGGGCUGUAGCCGGUCCCAAGGGUAUGGCUGUUCGCCAUUUAAAGAGGUACGUGAGCCGGGUUUAAAACGUCGUGAGACAGUUUGGUCCCUAUCUUCCGUGGGCGCUGCAGAUUUGAGGAAGCCUGCUCCUAGUACGAGAGGACCGGAGUGGACGCACCUCUGGUGUAUCGGUUGUCACGCCAGUGGCAUUGCCGAGUAGCUAUGUGCGGAAGAGAUAACCGCUGAAAGCAUCUAAGCGGGAAACUCGUUUCAAGAUGAGAUCUGCCGGGGCCUUGAGCCCCCUGAAGAGUCGUUCAAGACCAGGACGUUGAUAGGUCGGGUGUGGAAGCGCAGUAAUGCGUUAAGCUAACCGAUACUAAUUGCUCGUGCGGCUUGAUCG